rnacentral:rRNA from 1 species
UACAGAGGGGCCGAGCGUUAGGCGGAAUCACUGGGCUUAAAGCGUGUGUAGGCGGACUUCUAAGUACCUUGUGAAAUCCCACGGCUCACCCGUGGAACUGCUGGGUAUACUGGUCGUCUUGAGCCACCUAGGGGCGAGCGGAACAAAUGGUGGAGCGGUGAAAUGCGUAGAUAUCAUUUGGAACGCCAACGGUGAAAACAGCUCGCUGGGGGUGUGCUGACGCUGAGACACGAAAGCCAGGGUAGCGAACGGG